rnacentral:rRNA from 1 species
AUGUGGUAUCUUCGUAGGGGAGUUGUGCUAACCAAAGACAAUCUUGCACGGCGCAACUGGCCAGGAAGUAAGAAGUGUUGCUUUUGUGCUCAUGACGAGACAAUCAAACACCUCUUUUUCCAAUGCAAGUUUGCAUGUUCUACAUGGUCAGUCAUCCAAAUAUCGUCAAAUUUGUAUCCGCCAACGAGUAUUGCCAAUAUAUUUGGUCAUUGGUUGGACGGAAUUUCAAAUAGUUUGAAAAUGCUAAUAAGGGUGGGGGCGUAUGCCUUACUAGCGUCGCUUUGGCUAUGUAGAAAUGAUUUGAUUUUUAAUGACAAAAAUGCUUGUCCUCUACAGGUUAUUUUCCGUUGUACGCACUCGCUUCAUACGUGGUCUACACUACAACUGGCAGAGCACCAACCGCUGUUCAAGGCGGUGUGUACACGGUUGGAGCAGGCGGCUAUGGAGGUUUUUUCCCAACAUGGGUGGCAGCAUAACCUCCGGAUCGAUCCACCACCGAGUUCGACAUAG